rfam:Schistosoma rodhaini strain Burundi genome assembly, scaffold: SROB_scaffold0002058
GCACUGCUGAGCAGUCCCAUAAUAGGACGAAACGGCCGUCCAGUGC